UAGGGAAUCUUCGGCAAUGGGGGGAACCCUGACCGAGCAACGCCGCGUGAGUGAAGAAGGUUUUCGGAUCGUAAAGCUCUGUUGUUAAGGAAGAACGAGUGUGAGAAUGGAAAGUUCAUGCUGUGACGGUACUUAACCAGAAAGGGACGGCUAACUACGUGCCAGCAGCCGCGGUAAUACGUAGGUCCCGAGCGUUGUCCGGAUUUAUUGGGCGUAAAGCGAGCGCAGGCGGUUAGAAAAGUCUGAAGUGAAAGGCAGUGGCUCAACCAUUGUAGGCUUUGGAAACUGUUUAACUUGAGUGCAGAAGGGGAGGGUGGAAUUCCAUGUGUAGCGGUGAAAUGCGUAGAUAUAUGGAGGAACACCGGUGGCGAGAGCGGCUCUCUGGUCUGUAACUGACGCGGAGGCUCGAAAGCGUGGGGAGCGAACAGG
rnacentral:rRNA from 1 species